CCGGGUGGCCCCCUCACCUGGGAUGCCGCGCCCUCACCCCGCCAAGCAUGUGUGGCGGUGGUUGUCGGGGUCGGGGGAGGGGGGGCACGGAGGGGCGGCAGGGAUUUGGCUACAGGAGACGUUCCAGAAAACGGACGGUCUUUAAAUGCCGCUCUCAUGGGUGUGGGUUUCUGUCUGAGGUCUAUGGCCUUUUCAUUUUCUCCUUGGGAAGCAUUGAAUUUCUUCGAAACUCACCAGUUGGAUGGCCCCCAGAAAGGGGAGCGAGCAUUCAGUGUAAGGCACCCAGAACCUCCUGUUCCUGAAACCACAGUUCCUGAACCCGUGUUCUCAUCGCUGACUAUGGGGUCUUUGCUUGGUUUCAUCCCUCUUCUGGCCCUGAUCUUUACCCACUACCUCUCAC